GCCCGGUUAGCUCAGAUGGUAGAGCAUCAGACUUUUAAUCUGAGGGUCAUGGGUUCGAGCCACAUAUCGGGCG
rnacentral:tRNA from 2 species